rnacentral:rRNA from 1 species
AAGUCGUAACAAGGUCUCCGUUGGUGAACCAGCGGAGGGAUCAUUACAGAGUUAUCAAAACUCCCAAACCCAUGUGAACAUACCUCGCGUUGCCUCGGCAGGUGGCGUCUCGCCCCGUAAGAACCUACCCUGUAGGAACGUACCCGGUAGACGACCCUGCCGACGGCCCCCGAAACUCUGUUUUAUAGCAUUAAACUUCUGAAAACAUAACUAAAUAAGUUAAAACUUUCAACAACGGAUCUCUUGGUUCUGGCAUCGAUGAAGAACGCAGCGAAAUGCGAUAAGUAAUGUGAAUUGCAGAAUUCAGUGAAUCAUCGAAUCUUUGAACGCACAUUGCGCCCACUAGUAUUCUGGUGGGCAUGCCUGUUCGAGCGUCAUUUCAACCCUUAAGCCCCUGUUGCUUAGCGUUAGGAGCCUACCGGAACUCUCUGGUAGCUCCCCAAAGUCAGUGGCGGAGCCGGUUCGCACUCCAGACGUAGUAGCUUUUACACGUCGCCUGUAGCGCGGGCCGGUCCCCUGCCGUAAAACACCCCAAUUUUUAUAGGUUGACCUCGGAUCAGGUAGGAAUACCCGCUGAACUUAA